rnacentral:rRNA from 1 species
UGAUCCUGCCAGUAGUCAUAUGCUUGUCUCAAAGAUUAAGCCAUGCAUGUCUAAGUAUAAGCAAUUUAUACAGUGAAACUGCGAAUGGCUCAUUAAAUCAGUUAUAGUUUAUUUGAUAGUACCUUACUACUCGGAUACCCGUGGUAAUUCUAGAGCUAAUACGUGCUAAAAACCCUGACUGCUUGGGAGGGUGUAUUUAUUAGAUAAAAAUCAAUGCCUUCGGGCUCUUUGAUGAUUCAUAAUAACUUCUCGAAUCGCAUGGCUUCAUGCCGGCGAUGGUUCAUUCAAAUUUCUGCCCUAUCAACUGUCGAUGGUAGGAUAGUGGCCUACCAGCAUGAGUGGCUAUCAACAGGGAAUAAGAGGUUCGAUUCCAUCGAUGGAUCAAGUCUCUAUCAGCUGUCGAUGGUAGGAUAGUGGCCUACCAUGGUGGCAACAGGUAACGGGAAUAAGGGUUCGAUUCCGAGAGGGAGCCUGAGAACGGCUACCACAUCCAAGGAAGGCAGCAGGCGCGCAAAUUACCCAAUCCUAAUUCAGGGAGGUAGUGACAAUAAAUAACGAUACAGGGCCCUUAUGGGUCUUGUAAUUGGAAUGAGUACAAUGUAAAUACCUUAACGAGGAACAAUUGGAGGGCAAGUCUGGUGCCAGCAGCCGCGGUAAUUCCAGCUCCAAUAGCGUAUAUUAAAAGUUGUUGCAGUUAAAAAAGCUCAGAAUUGAACUUUGGGCUUGGUAGGCCGGUCCGCUUUUGGCGUGUACUGGUCCCUACCGAGCCUUUCCUUCUAUUAACUAUCCUCGGGGUAGCGAACCAGGACUUUUACUUUGAAAAAAUUAGAGUGUUCAAAGCAGGCCUUUGCUCGAAUAUAUUAGCAUGGAAUAAUAGAAUAGGACGUUUGGUUCUAUUUUACUGUUGGUUUCUAGGACCAUCGUCGGGGCAUCAGUAUUCAGUUGUUGAUCUUGGAAUAAUUCUUACAUAUUAUCAUUUGGUUCUAAAUAUUGGACCAUCCUUAAUGAUUAAUAAUAGGGACGGUCAGGGGCAUCAGUAUUCAGUUGUCAGAGGUGAAAUUCUUGGAUUUACUGAAGACUAACUACAUUGCGAAAGCAUUUGCCAGGACGUUUUCAUUAAUCAAGAACGAAAGUUAGGGGAUCGAAGAUGAUCAGAUACCGUCGUAGUCUUAACCAUAAACUAUGCCGACUAGGGAUCGGGUGUGUUGUUUUAUAAUGACUCACUCGGCACCUUACGAGAAAUCAAAGUCUUUGGGUUCUGGGGGAGUAUGGUCGCAAGGCUGAAACUUAAAAGGAAUUGACGGAAGGGCACCACCAGGAGUGGAGCCUGCGGCAAUUUGACUCAACACGGGGAAACUCACCAGGUCCAGACACAAUAAGGAUUGACAGAUUGAGAGCUCUUUCUUGAUUUUGUGGGUGGUGGUGGGCCGUUCUUAGUUGGUGGAGUGAUUUGUCUGCUUAAUUGCGAUAUAACGAACGAGACCUUAACCUACUAAAUAGUGACUAGCUUUUUUGCUGGUAUUGACACUUCUUAGAGGACUAUCGAUUUCAAGUCGAUGGCAAUGUCGAUGACCUUAACCUUACCACUAAAUAGUCGCGACUGCUUUUUUGCUGGGUAUUGACACUUCUAACUAUCGAUCAAGUCGUGGAAGUUUGGGCAAUAACAGGUCUGUGAUGCUAUAGACGUUCUGGGCCGCACGCGCGCUACACUGACGGAGCCAGAGUCUAACUCUGGCCGAGAGGUCAUGGGUAAUCUUGUGAAACUCCGUCGUGCUGAGGAUAGAGCAUUGCAAUUAUUGCUCUUCAACGAGGAAUUCCUAGUAAGCGCAAGUCAUCAGCUUGCGUUGAUUACGUCCCUGCCUUUGUACACACCGCCCGUCGCUACUACCGAUUGAAUGGCUUAGUGAGGGCUUCAGGAUUGGCUUAGAUCAGGAGGCAACUCAGAUUGGGCCGAGAAUUUAGUCAAACUUGGUCAUUUAGAGUAAAGUCGUAACAAAGGUUUCCGUAGGUGAACCUGCGGAAG